rnacentral:rRNA from 1 species
CAGUAGCCACGGGAAUACGUAGGGGGCAAGCGUUGUCCGGAAUUAUUGGGCGUAAAGCGCGCGCAGGCGGUUCUUUAAGUCUGGUGUAUAAGUGCGGGGCUCAACCCCGUGAGGCACUGGAAACUGGGGAACUUGAGUGCAGAAGAGGAGAGCGGAAUUCCACGUGUAGCGGUGAAAUGCGUAGAGAUGUGGAGGAACACCAGUGGCAAAGGCGGCUCUCUGGACUGUAACUGACGCUGAGGCGCGAAAGCGUGGGGAGCAAACAGGAUUAGAUACCCCAGUAGUCCCUGUCUCUUAUACC